CCGCGAAGGGUCCUUCCUCGGAGAGGCGGCAAGAUGGCGGCCGCGUGGCGUCUGGGGGCGGCGCUGGGGGGCCGCUUUUGUCAUUUGGGGUUAAAGAGUACGAAUGUAUCAAUUAAACAACAAUACCGUUUUGUUACACCACACAAGACUUUCCUGUUUCCUGCAGUGCCACAGAUGUCAGCGAGGUCUCUAUUUAUUCAGACACAGGACACACCAAACCCAAACAGCUUAAAAUUUAUUCCAGGAAAACCAGUCCUGGAAUCCAGAACGAUGGAAUUCCUGUCUCCAGCUUCCACCUUCUGCUCUCCAUUAGCAAGGUUUGGAAAGGGGUGGGGAGGUUGCACA